CGUGUUUAUAAACAAUCGGUGGCUGUUUGCAUAACUACAGAUCCCUAGAAGGAGGGCUGGAGAUAUUUGUGUAACCUGAGAUGAGGGAAGGAUUACAGAACACAGGAUACACACUUUCAAAUGUCCACAAACAAAAUUUAGAGCAGGGAAGGCAUAUAUAAAAUGAUGAAUGCCAGGGCACUGAAAAACAUAACUUCUCAUUAGUUAUUAUAGAAG